CGGCACGGGUGAGUAACACGUAUCCAACCUGCCGUCUACUCUUGGACAGCCUUCUGAAAGGAAGAUUAAUACAAGAUGGCAUCAUGAGUUCACAUGUUCACAUGAUUAAAGGUAUUCCGGUAGACGAUGGGGAUGCGUUCCAUUAGAUAGUAGGCGGGGUAACGGCCCACCUAGUCUUCGAUGGAUAGGGGUUCUGAGAGGAAGGUCCCCCACAUUGGAACUGAGACACGGUCCA
rnacentral:rRNA from 1 species